rnacentral:tRNA from 1 species
GGGCGAGUGCGGGAACUGGCAGACCGGCACGGUUGAGGGCCGUGUGAGUUUAACUCGUGGGGGUUCGACUCCCCCUUCGCCCACCA